UUCGGGUAGCAGAGGGAGACGAUACACAGGAGACAUGAGAGGGUAGACGUCUCCUGUCAGCCCUCGUAGGAGGACCGGAAACCCACGUGCGCUAUGCUGAGGAUGCUUCACAGCGCCUGCUGCUGCCGCCCCGCUCGAUAUCCCGAGUGUUUAUGGCCAGGACUCAUUCGAUCCUUAAGUCCUGAGGAUCAACCUCAGGGCUCACACACUAGACAAGCACACUGUACAGCCUCAACCGUCUCUCUACUGUUACCGACAUUUCCAAACAUCGAGCAAAGUUGAAGGAUGGCCGAUGAGCACCCACGGGACUUCUCAGUAUCAACAAUGAUAAACAUUUUGUCUGCCCCCCCCAAAAUCAUCUUAUUUAAUUGCAAGUUGUGAGUAUCAACUAUGUUCUUCAUCGAGCUUGACAGUCACGGUGUGGAGAGUCUCAGCAAAGUGAAGUCUUCUUAGAGACACAGUGGGCAGGAUGAACACCGCUCCUGAGAAUGGAGACAAAGCGAAUCCACGUUAAUUCUGCACACUUUUGUGUGUGCCCAUCUUCUUCAGUUGACUUCAGGAACAGUAUCUUCAUGACGGUGUCCUGUGGCAAAUGCGUACUCGAAGGAAGAACUGGCAUUUUGCCUCCCGGUGUAUUACGUACUGUCAUUAAUUAUUUUAUAAUAUGUAUUUGGGAAUGAUAAGGAAGGACUUAAGGUAUUUCAAUAUUUUGCUUGUGACUUGAAGCAUAAUAAAAUGCUCACUUUCCAAGGUAAAAGAUGUUAACUAUGAAAGCAACACUCAGUAAUGAUUGCAGAGGAAUCACACACAUUAUAAUAACGGCUAUCUGCUCCAGAAAAAAACAAUUAUAUCCCUUUAAGGUUCUUAUAAUAUCUAUGCAGUUUUAGUGCUGUUUUAUCCAACCUAUAUCAUCAUACACAAAUGCAGAACUUCAUUCCAUUUAAUCAGCAGCUAGAUGAUGGAAGAGAGAAAGCAUUCAUCAGGAAGCUGCAGAUGUCCCAUCUUUGUUUCAGAACACACCAGAGAAUUUAAUUCAAAGUUCUAGAAGAAAUAUUGACAGACAGAUGGGACACAAACUUAAUGAACCAGCUACGGAACAGCACUCUCUAAUCUAUCAAGGCCCUCUCUGGCACGUUCCUUUUUUAAAACCAACUCUCCGUUGUAAGUCAGCACAUGAAAAAUCCUUAACAAUAAUGUCUGAUGUUGGACAAAAGCCAUUGUAACUGAACAGCAAUGAUACACAAACCAGCAAGAGCCAGUUGUUUUAGGUAAAAGUAGCUUGUCUUUGUUCUAUCAAAAAAAAAUUUAUGUUUUUAUUUCAAUGUGUGUCUGAGGAUGCAUGUGCAUCAGGGUGCCUGCCGAGCCCAGACGAGGUCAUCAGAACCCCUGAGAUGCCUGUUGUGGGUGCUUGGAACCAAGCUCAUUCAUGUCCUCUGGAACUCCCAGCCUUUGAGGCCUAUCCCUACCUCUCUCCGGGUAACCUGAUUCUGUGACAUGUGUUUUCACUGUAUUUCAGGAGGAGCGUAGUUCAUUGGUUUCAGCCCAAAGAUUGGGGGUAUUGAAACCUCACCGGAUUGCUGAUUCUUUGGCUUUAUCCUAGAUGUUCUGCUUUGGCGGGUCAUGGGGUUGGGCUCAAGACUCUUCACUCUAUCCAGGUUCCUAGGAGAUCCUGACGUGGAUGAUGAUGGAACAUGCUCUGACCUAUACCAUAUUCAGCCCCUGAGAUUGCUAAGCCAUGUCCGUCAUGUGAGCUGACCACUCUGCUAACCCCUUCCAUCUGGCCUAGUAAGUCACAGGUCAGGAGGAACAAGGGACCCAUAUUCUACAGCUUCCUCCUGGAUCCAGUAUUCUCUGACUUCGAGGCUUUCCAUGUUGAUUAAGUUCGAGGCUUUCUAUGUUGAUUAAGUGCAGAACCAAUUUUUAAUAUCUUCAGAAUCCUCCAUCUUGCUCAGCGACAUUUGUUUCAAUCACCGCAUACCACGCCUCCCUUGGAUGCUUCCCAAAGUGAAAAUUCCAAAUCGUCAUGGUCCUUAAUCUCUGUCUCCACCAACAGAUGGAAUCCACCAAAGCAGAUCGAGUCUGAGUUCACAAAGCUCCCUUAUCUAUUUUGUUAAUAGCUUUAUUGAAGUACAAUUGACAUACAGUGAGUGGAACAAUUUAGUGUGUAUAAUUUGUUAGAUUAUGGCAUAUGGAUACAGCCACGGACCUUAUCACCCACAAUCAAGAUAAUGAAACCGUCCUACACCCCCCCCCCAUUUUUUCUGUCCCAGGGUAGUCUGUCCCUCCCUCCAUGUACUCCCCCCUGCAUGUAACUCUGCUAACCACAGAUUGUGUCCUGCCACUAUUGAGUCCACAGUUUCUAAACUUAGUAUA